rnacentral:rRNA from 1 species
UACGAAGGGGGCUAGCGUUGCUCGGAUUGACUGGGCGUAAAGGGCGCGUAGGCGGUUCGUACAGUCAGACGUGAAAUUCCUGGGCUCAACCUGGGGGCUGCGUUUGAUACGUGCGGACUUGAGUGCGGAAGGAGGGUCGUGGAAUUCCCAGUGUAGAGGUGAAAUUCGUAGAUAUUGGGAAGAACACCGGUGGCGAAGGCGGCGACCUGGUCCGAUACUGACGCUGAGGAGCGAAAGCGUGGGGAGGCGAACG